rnacentral:rRNA from 1 species
UACAGAGGUCUCAAGCGUUGUUCGGAUUCAUUGGGCGUAAAGGGUGCGUAGGCGGCGCCGUAAGUCAGGUGUGAAAUUUCGGAGCUUAACUCCGAAACUGCAUUUGAUACUGCGGUGCUUGAGGACUGGAGAGGAGACUGGAAUUCAUGGUGUAGCAGUGAAAUGCGUAGAGAUCAUGAGGAAGACCAGUGGCGAAGGCGGGUCUCUGGACAUUUCCUGACGCUGAGGCACGAAAGCCAGGGGAGCAAACGGG